rnacentral:rRNA from 1 species
CACGUAGGGCGCAAGCGUUGUCCGGAAUUAUUGGGCGUAAAGAGCUCGUAGGUGGUUUGUUACGUCUGCUGUGAAAUCCUAGGGCUUAACCCUGGGCUUGCAGUGGAUACGGGCAGACUAGAGGUAGGUAGGGGAGAAUGGAAUUCCUGGUGUAGCGGUGAAAUGCGCAGAUAUCAGGAGGAACACCGGUGGCGAAGGCGGGUCUCUGGGCCGAUACUGACGCUGAGGAGCGAAAGCGUGGGGAGCGAACAGG